AGCGAACGCUGGCGGCAUGCUUAGCACAUGCAAGUCGCACGAAGGCUUCGGCCUUAGUGGCGGACGGGUGAGUAACGCGUAGGAAUCUAUCCAUGGGUGGGGGAUAACACUGGGAAACUGGUGCUAAUACCGCAUGAUACCUGAGGGUCAAAGGCGCAAGUCGCCUGUGGAGGAGCCUGCGUUCGAUUAGCUAGUUGGUGGGGUAAAGGCCUACCAAGGCGAUGAUCGAUAGCUGGUUUGAGAGGAUGAUCAGCCACACUGGGACUGAGACACGGCCCAGACUCCUACGGGAGGCAGCAGUGGGGAAUAUUGGACAAUGGGGGCAACCCUGAUCCAGCAAUGCCGCGUGUGUGAAGAAGGUCUUCGGAUUGUAAAGCACUUUCGACGGGGACGAUGAUGACGGUACCCGUAGAAGAAGCCCCGGCUAACUUCGUGCCAGCCGCCGCAGUAA
rnacentral:rRNA from 1 species